rnacentral:rRNA from 1 species
UAGUCAUAUGCUUGUCUCAAAGAUUAAGCCAUGCAUGUCUAAGUAUAAACUGCUUAUACUGUGAAACUGCGAAUGGCUCAUUAAAUCAGUUAUAGUUUAUUUGAUGGUACCUCUACUCGGAUAACCGUAGUAAUUCUAGAGCUAAUACGUGCGCACAUCCCGACUUCUGGAAGGGACGUAUUUAUUAGAUAAAAGGCCAGCCGGGGUUUCCCCGACCUGCGUUGACUCAUGGUAACUUCACGAAUCGCAUGGCCUCCGUGCCGGCGAUGUUUCAUUC